rnacentral:rRNA from 1 species
UUGACCUCAAAUCGGGUGAGACUACCCGCUGAACUUAAGCAUAUCAAUAAGCGGAGGAAAAGAAACUAACAAGGAUUCCCCUAGUAACUGCGAGUGAAGCGGGAAAAGCUCAAAUUUAAAAUCUGGUGGCCUUUGGCCAUCCGAGUUGUAAUUUAGAGAAGCGUCUUCCGCGCCGGACCGUGCACAAGUCUCCUGGAAUGGAGCGUCGUAGAGGGUGAGAAUCCCGUCUUUGGCACGGAUGACCGGGGCUUUUGUGAUGCGCUCUCGAAGAGUCGAGUUGUUUGGGAAUGCAGCUCAAAAUGGGUGGUGAACUCCAUCUAAAGCUAAAUAUUGGCGAGAGACCGAUAGCGAACAAGUACCGUGAGGGAAAGAUGAAAAGCACUUUGGAAAGAGAGUGAAACAGUACGUGAAAUUGUUGAAAGGGAAACGCUUGAAGUCAGUCGCGUCGGCCGAGACUCAGCCUUGCCUCGGCUUGGUGUACUUCUCGACCGACGGGUCAGCAUCAAUUUUGCCCCUUGGAUAAUGGCGAGGGAAAUGUGACACCUUUACGGGUGUGUUAUAGUCUCUCGUCGCAUGCGAGGGUCGGGAUUGAGGAACUCAGCACGCGCCUUUAGGUGUCGGGGCCUUGCCCACGAUACGUG